rnacentral:rRNA from 1 species
GGGACCCGCACAAGCGGUGAUGAUGUGGUUUAAUUCGAUGCAACGCGAAAACCUUACCCACCUUUGACAUGUACGGAAGUUGCCAGAGAUGGCUUCGUGCUCGAAAGAGAGCCGUAACACAGGUGCUGCAUGGCUGUCGUCAGCUCGUGUCGUGAGAUGUUGGGUUAAGUCCCCGCAACGAGCGCAACCCUUGUCAUUAGUUGCUACGAAAGGGCACUCUAAUGAGACUGCCGGUGACAAACCGGAGGAAGGUGGGGAUGACGUCAAGUCCUCAUGGCCCUUACGGCCAGGGCUACACACGUGCUACAAUGGUCGGUACAGAGGGUUGCCAAACCGCGAGGUGGAGCUAAUCUCACAAAACCGAUCGUAGUCCGGAUCGCAGUCUGCAACUCGACUGCGUGAAGUCGGAAUCGCUAGUAAUCGUGAAUCAGAAUGUCACGGUGAAUACGUUCCCGGGCCUU